AUUGAACGCUGGCGGCAGGCCUAACACAUGCAAGUCGAGCGGCAGCGGGAAAGUAGCUUGCUACUUUUGCCGGCGAGCGGCGGACGGGUGAGUAAUGCCUGGGGAUCUGCCCAGUCGAGGGGGUUAACUACUGGAACGGUAGCUAAUACCGCAUACGCCUACCGGGGGAAAGGACAGGGGACCGUUCGGGCCGUUGCGCGGAUUGGAGUGAACCCACGGUGGGAGUUAGCUAGUUGGUGAGGUAAGUAGGCGUCACCAAGGCGGACGAUCCCUACGCUGGUCUGAGAGGAUGAUCAGCCACACUGGAACUGAGACACGGUCCAGACUCCUACGGGAGGC
rnacentral:rRNA from 1 species